AUGUUAAGUUUUUACAAAUAUUUUUUCUCCUAAACCACUUGUUAGAUUUUGAUGAAAUUUGAAACACUUCUUCAGGACAUAAUAUACUUUACUCAUGCAAAGAGUUUUUUUUUCUUCAAAAUUUUAUUUUAUAAAGUGAUUUUGAUUCCAUUUAUAAAUUCAAAAAUUUGUUUAAAAAAAUGUAACAUACUUAAAUCUUUAAUUCUGCCUUAGUAGUAAUUUAGAGUAUGUCUUGUAAUUCUGACCAUUAGCUUUUACAAAAUUAUGGGUUUUAAUUUGUAUACAAUUGUCACAGUGUUGAGUGUGUGAGAGUUAUUAAUUAGUUUCAUAGGUGUUAUCAAGGCUCACCGAUAGACUUGACAGAGACCAGACAAAGAUUAGGACAAUGUCAGUUAGGUGUUUGUCUUGUAGAGAGACUGAUAUGUGGGUUUUAAUUUGUAUACAAUUGUUACAGUGUUGAGUGUGUGAGAGUUAUUAAUUAGUUUCAUAGGUGUUAUCAAGGCUCACCGAUAGACUUGACAGAGACCAGACAAAGGUUAAGACAAUGUCAGUUAGGUGUUUGUCUUGUAGAGAGACUGAUAUGUGGGUCAGGACAGACACAGACAAUUAGUAAUGUUAGUUUAGGCGUAGGCUAGAUACUCAGCCUAUAUAGAGAGAAGUUUGGGGCAGACCGGUACACAGCGCCAUUUGGUGUCAACAGGGGCGUGUGUCGUGUGCCAGAGAUGCUGUAGCAUGUAGGAAGUAGUUCUAAAGCACCAGGAGUGACAGUCUUGGCGACAGUCUGAGUCUUGACAGUCUUGGCGACAGUCUGAUUCGGAGACAGUCUUUGAGUUCGUGACAGUCAGUAGAGAUAGCCUGAGUAUUUUAUGAUGUAAAUCAUUGACGACAGAAGGUAGAAGCUAGAAAAUGAGCCACAGACGAUGGUCUACACAAAUGACAGAAAGACAACAUAAGUUGAACUCAUGUAGCCGUGUGAUGUUGGAUCCAGGAGCGUGCAUUGAGGAGGGAACUGGUUGGUCCGGCUGAGCAUGGGUGAAAGACUAUUUCUCUUGUUUUAUGCUAUUCAUUCUACAAUGUAUUUAUAUUGUAUUAUUUUAUCUAAGCAGUCAUAGAGUAUUUGAUUAAUCAAUCACUUAUUACAUUUAUUACUUGAUUUUAAAGAGGCCAUUGAUGCCUUAAAUAGAAUAUUAAAUAUAAGUUUUAGUUAA
rnacentral:sRNA from 1 species